rnacentral:rRNA from 1 species
AUACGUAGGGGGCUAGCGUUAUCCGGAAUUACUGGGCGUGAAGGGUGCGUAGGUGGUUUCUUAAGUCAGAAGUGAAAGGCUACGGCUCAACCGUAGUAAGCUUUUGAAACUAAGAGACUUGAGUGCAGGAGAGGAGAGUAGAAUUCCUAGUGUAGCGGUGAAAUGCGUAGAUAUUAGGAGGAAUACCAGUUGCGAAGGCGGCUCUCUGGACUGUAACUGACACUGAGGCACGAAAGCGUGGGGAGCAAACAGGAUUAGAUACCCUGGUAGUCCACGCCGUAAACGAUGAGUACUAGCUGUCGGGGGUUACCCCCCUCGGUGGCGCAGCUAACGCAUUAAGUACUCCGCCUGGGAAGUACGCUCGCAAGAGUGAAACUCAAAGGAAUUGGCGGGG